AUUGAACGCUGGCGGCAGGCCUAACACAUGCAAGUCGAACGGUAACAGGAAGAAGCUUGCUUCUUUGCUGACGAGUGGCGGACGGGUGAGUCAUGUCUGGGAAACUGCCUGAUGGAGGGGGAUAACUACUGGAAACGGUAGCUAAUACCGCAUAACGUCGCAAGACCAAAGAGGGGGACCUUCGGGCCUCUUGCCAUCGGAUGUGCCCAGAUGGGAUUAGCUAGUAGGUGGGGUAACGGCUCACCUAGGCGACGAUCCCUAGCUGGUCUGAGAGGAUGACCAGCCACACUGGAACUGAGACACGGUCCAGACUCCUACGGGAGGCAGCAGUGGGGAAUAUUGCACAAUGGGCGCAAGCCUGAUGCAGCCAUGCCGCGUGUAUGAAGAAGGCCUUCGGGUUGUAAAGUACUUUCAGCGGGGAGGAAGGGAGUAAAGUUAAUACCUUUACUCAUUGACGUUACCCGCAGAAGAAGCACCGGCUAACUCCGU
rnacentral:rRNA from 1 species